ensembl:lncRNA
GAAGGAUGCCAGAAUGUGUGUGUGCUUGUGUGUGUGUGUGUGUGUGUGUGUGUGUGUGUGUGUGUGUGUGUGUGUGUGUGUGUGUGUGUGUGUGUGUGUGUGUGUGUGUGUGUGUGUGUGUGUGUGAUUGAUUGAUUCCACAGAUGGGAGCCUUCCUAGUAGUCCGAGUUGGGUCUGAGGGGCCUGGGAAAUCAGUCUGCGCAAUAUACAAGACUUCUCCCCGCCGGCCUCUCCGUUAAGCGGCCUUUUCCCGCCUUUUUACAGCGAGGGUGACGGGACAGCCGAGCGGGCGCCAGUCCCGGCAUGGGAGUGGAACCUGGCCUGGCUGGAGGAGAUGGAGGCCCGCUACAGGGCCCAGUACCCCGGCCAGAAGCCCUGCGACGCCUAAGAGGGGAAACUGCAUAGGAAACAGAGUCGGCGGCCAUUACGGAGACAAAGAGAGAGUCGGCCGGUGAUCAAACUGGCAGGCGGCUGAAGUUCAGGGGGAAGUCAAUCAACUGCCGCAAGGUUUUUUUGACUUAAGACAAUUCAUUCAUUCAAGUGGUGCAUAUCUCAUUACUAUUAUACCCCUCUGUUUGACAUCCACCUCCCGCUGCUUGACCUACGAGACCAAACCCGACAGCGCACUGUAGCCGAUACAGUGUUCACAGAUUCUGCUCCCCGCUAACCCUGAGACCAAGUGCAUUGCAUCUCUGCAGAAUGACGGAGCCUGCUUCUGUAACUGCUUGUGUUCCUCUCUUUAAAGGGCAAUGCAGUGUCCAGGGAUUAAAUAGUAACCGUUAGGUUAGCAAUGCAAUUGCUGUAUUUGAAGCAUUGUGUCUCAAAAUCCUAAAGAAACAUCCAACAUUCUGCAAUGUAAAUAUGCAUCAUAUUCAGGAAAUGUUAUUUAAAGAAUUUCCAAAUUAUACUUCUCAUGCAUUUCUCUGUCACAACGUUUUUCUUUUGUGUUUGUAUGUGUGUUUUUUAUUCAUAUUCUUUCAAGUUUUUUUUGUAUUUAGAGUUUGAAAGCUGAGCUACAGUUACGAGGAUAGACAUCUUUGUAGGUUAGAAAGCAACAUUCAUUUUAUUUGCUUGUGUUAACUAAAUAAAAUUCUGCUAAUCAAAGGCACUUAUUAAUUAGAACCAAAUUAUAUUUGCCUCGUUCAUAUUUGUACUUCUUCAUAGAUAUUGAUUAAUAGAUUACAUUUAUAUUUGUUUACUUUUUAUAUAUAUAAAUUGGUGCGUUAUUAACUACUUUAAAUUCUUGCUAUCUUAAAGGGAUAUGCUGAGUUAUCUUUAAACAGGUGUUUUCCUGUUUUAACCAGAUUCAGACGUUGUGUUUAGUACCAAAUUCACCAUUGUUCAGCAGGGGCACUAUUUUUUGUCCGCGCUGUGAUUAUAAGGCAUAGAUUACCCAUCCAGAAGCAGGGGUUGGAAUCACAGGUUGUGUGAUUCCCUAGAUGCACAAUGAUGAAUUUGGAAUAAAAUAAACUUGUUUGCAUCUAGAUAAGAAAGUUAACGCCACAUGACAGAAAUCUCACAGUCCCUUUAAAUAUUUAGUAAUUGCAUUUUUAUUGCAAAACCUAUUUUUUAUCUUUGAAUAUCAGCACAAUAAUCCUGUAAGUUAUAUUGCUAACCUGACUCAGGCUGCAUGUGGGUUCUGUUCUGUGUCUUUGAAUUGAAAUAUUCCAGCAGUGGCUUGCUUCUACAAAGGCAAGAAAGAGACACUGAACACCUUUUAUCCAUUUUAAUAAAAGUUAAACACACAAAUAAACUAUCCAUUCUCGUUGAAUUAUUCAGAGGCGUCCUAUUAACUCAACACAGAGUGUUGAGUUCAU